AUGCCUUUGUCUGUCUGUGUGUGCUGGGUGCACGGCUGCUUCUGCAUUUUUUCUGGAAACUGGAAACUAAAAUUCACUAAAAUGGAUCCCGUCAGUUGGUCACUCAAUGCGGUUGAUAAAAUUUUUUCAAUGGUGAGAACGGGAGAAGGGGCUCCCAGAUGCCCCUCCGGGACAGACCAGCUGUCUGUGGAGGACUCUGAAGAUGUGUGGAUAUUCGUGGUGUUGGUGUCGGGUUUCCUGCUGAUCGGCAUUGAAGGCUACCUGGCUUACCGGAAAAUUAAUGAUAGGGAUGAGCCGGAUAAAGCAUUUUUGACGAAUACGAGCAUGAAACGAGUAGAACUCGUAAAUAUCUCUAAUCGUGCUGAAGGAAAAUCCUCAUUGGGUAACUGACUGUCUUCACGCUCUGUGAUUGGCCAGUCACAUAGAGCACCCGCCCCUCCCUACACACAAAACUGCAGCCGGCCGGGAGCGCAGUCCGUCCGGCUCAUCCACGCACACACACAGACAGUAACGGAUCUCGCUGUGAUUGCUUCUUUGUUGCUCACGUUUCUUCAGUUUUCCCUAGGUUUUCUUCAGCUCGCCUCUUUUUCGGUUGAAUGUUUAAAGUUACUUUUUUCGUAAUUUACAUGGUGCAUUUGACAAGACAGAGCUGACGUGCUGUGUCAGUCACUACCUCCGCUCCGGUCAGGUUUUUAAUUUUUUUUAACUCUUCUCUCUCCCUCUCUCGCUCUCUCUCUCACACACACACACACCUUAAUCAACAUUGUUAUGUUUAACUUUGUGUGGGAAAAUGCCAAGAACGUUAAGAAAAAAAUCAGUUUAAUCAAAUUAAAAUUAAAAAAAAAAAUAUAUAAAGUUGUUUCUGGUUCUAGUAUUUCAUAUUUCCUAGUUCCUACUGCAUGAGUUCAGAUGUAUUAAUCCAUGCACUUAAAUAUUAAUGUUCUGAUUUUACUGAAAAACUUGUUCUGUAAUAGUUCCUUUACUAUUGUGAUCAAAAAUAUUUAAUCUCAAUUCUGAGGCUGCUCUGUAAAUAGUUUUCAAAUAAACAAUACACAUAUCAACUUCUGAUCAAUCCUUAUCAAUUUCAGACUUAAAAUAAUAUAUUGAUGUAAACCACACCCACUUCCGGUCAAACCACGCCCACUUCCGGGUUAUGCCACGUCCAUUCUGAGUACAGAUACAGAUACAGACAAUUUAGUUGGCUGAACAGAUAUAGAUACAGAUACAGAUAGUGGUGUACUUGCUCAUCCCUAAUUAACGAGCUGUCGAGGAAUAUUGGCCUGAUCCCCGAGCUCAGAGAUGGAUUGCACCACACUGUGAAUUCACAGACUCACAUAAUUGUCGAGAUGAAUCGUAAGCUUGGAACUUUGGCUGAAAUUCAUUCAUUGGCACAGAAGAUGGAUGCCAUCAAGGAUAGAGUGGACAAAUCAGCAUGGAUUGGGAUAGUUUAAUGUCCAUUAAUGGGAUUUUGAGAGGUUGAGGACCAACAAACUGUAUGACAGAGAGGAAAUUAUCUCUGUCUGGCCCCAAAACAAUUUUUAAUCGGAAUCUGGCGGCCUUGAGCCUGCAAGGCUACAACAAAAACUCCCCCCUCAGAAGAUAUGUGGAAUGUGCCGUCGCUAUGGCCACUUAACUCUGUCUCCUAUCCCAAUGCCCCUUUUAGCAGCUGACUGGAUGAUAUUGCAGUCAAGUUAGCAAUCAACCUGACAAUCCUGACUGCAGGAAGUCACUGCAACCCUCCAACCCUCAAUGCUCAUCCCCCUAUCCACACCGAGGUGACAUGCACUGCUUCUAUCGUGGCUGCAGGAACUGAAGUAGGGAUAGUCCCAACCCACCACUCCAUCUAGUGGACACUUAUGUUGUGUUGUCUGAUGUCUGUUGCAUAUAUGUUUGAGGUGGGUUUUUUUUUUUGCAGAGCAAGCUGCCUUUCCUGUGGAGGGUAACUCUGAAGUGCCUUUUUUUCCCUCCACCUGAACCAAUCCUCAUGUACCAAUACUCAGGGUUGCGAAUGACCACAGUCACCAAUUCUUGUCAUGUGUCUUGCCCAUGUGCAUCUGAUCUCUGAAUUGUGUGUACUGAAACUCUGGGAUUAAUAAAGUGUCUUUGAUUUAGAUUUUUUUUUCAAUUUAACUUUAUAUAGAAAAGUCACUGGCUUCUUCCUGUCUAGCUGUGGUGCCUCAGGUGCGCUUCUCAUGAGAGACAGUCUGAAGAGGACAAAAAUCUGUGUCCCGCCUUAUUGACAGUCUCCCAUUUUGAGUUCAUUCCUUGUCUCCCAUUUUGAGUUUAAUAUUUGUAUAAACUGUGGAUAAAGCAGGAGGCGGGACUUAAACUCACGUUCAGGUUCAGAGAGCGUGCAGCGCUCUCACGUCAAACCAGCAACACAAAAUGAAAGGGCAGGGUGAACACAGAUAAUCAAUAACUGUAUAAAAAAGAUGGAGAACAGAUAGAUGAGCAGAGAAAAUACCUUAUUUUGAAAUAUCAAUGAAAAGUAACAUUUCACGAGCGAAUAAGAAGAAGUUUUUGGAGAAGGUGUUCCCGUUUACAAACCAAAAUGCCCCUUUUAGCGGCUGACUGGAUGAUAUUGCAGUCAGGUUAGCAAUCAACCUAGCUUGAAUGCUAUUUCGAACUGCAUUGAAUUGAUGUAAACUUCAAGCUCAUUGUGGAAGGGGAAUUAAUUAUUACAAUUAUUUAUUGUAAUGGAGCUAAAACAUAAAAUAAUGUAUAAUAGUGUAAUGGUCAUCCUUUCAAUACAUCAGACUAUUGUUUUAGCCUGCUGUAGCGUUAGCAGCAGUUGGCUACCAUCUCAAGGACCACAUUCCUGCUGGUUUUAUAUGUUCCUCGCUUCAACACAGUAGAUUUGAUUAAAACAAGAGAGCUUCUGUAGAAGCCAAUGAAGGUUGAGGAGAUAUUUGAGCAGUUGGAAUCAAGUGUGUUUGAGUGGGAACACAACAAAAACAUGACUUUUUCCAUUAGCGCUACAGGGCUAUUUGUGUCCGCUGUAUGAGGCAUGCAGCGGCAGGUUACAUCACUGCUUUGUCUUAAUGUAGUCCCAAGUUUAAAUUGGCUCCUGGAAAUCCUUUGUUACUUCUUACUUUUCAUUAGCAUUCGACAUGAUUAUUGAGCUCACCAGGAGUGAUUGGUGUCAUUAUUGGGUAAUUUUAAUCACUUUUGCACACAAAAUGCUAGUUCCUGCUAUGCACUUCCAUUGUUCAUGCAAAGCUAAAGCAGACUAGGACAAUUACUGCACUGGUCACAAAAUGCUUUUAUCUCAUUUAUCUAACUCUGGGCUUUACGGAAAUAGACAAAAUUUCACUUAGGGGCGGAAUAUCCCUUUAAGUGACAGUGUGAGAUAGAUCUGUCAGGCUUUUUUGAAUCAAGAUUAUAUUUUGUAUCUGAAGCUGACGCAAGAAAUAGGGUGUUAAAAAAGUCCUGCAUUGGUAACAGUCUUCUACCGUAGACGACUAUUUUUCAAAUUCGGUCUGCAUGUUAAACUCAGAGUGAGGGAUCAUUUUUAAAAAUAAUAGGUAAAAAUGAUUUGAUUAUUUUUAAAAAUAAUAGGUACAAAAAGACAAGCAAACAAAGCUCAUAUGUAUGAACGUGCUGAAUAAAGACUUGAGUACAAUAAGAAAAAAAUCUGCACACUUCCAUCUGCAAAAAAUUAUUAUUUAAUGAUCAAGCUUUUGGUGAGAGACCUUCAUCGGGAGUGAUAAGAAAUAAUAGGUAAAAAUGGUUUCUUAGUUAACCUGCUCGUUAAAAUUUAAAGAAAACAACAUGAAUGUAACAAUUCUGUAUUUUUUUGGUGGAAUCACUAGUUCAACUAAUACACAUACACUUUUAGUUUCAUACUGCCUGUUUAUAGUCAUUCUUUUAGUUUAGCUUCAAUAACUUGAAUGUUGAGUGAAAAGUCCUUUCUCUUGAUUGUGUCACAAUGAAACAGUUCUCAGAAACACACUCAGUAGUGUGUGACUGCAGAUUUACUUGGUAAUCCGCCUCAGAUCUGGGUCACAAGUCUGCUUCCUCUAACAAUGUUUUUACAACAUAGAAACCGGCCUAAGCAGUAGUAACUCGUAAGUUUAAGUCCUAGCAGAACAACCUACAAAUAAAAUGUAGAAUCAUCAAUAUUACCUAAUCCUGCUUUUACUUUUUACUUUUGUUUCCACAGUUGGGCCUGGAGUUUGUUCACAUCAGGCGUGAUUAAGCAGCGUCCCCCUGCAGCUUUAAGUGUUAAAGUUGUCUGGAGUGCUAUUAGCACUAACUCUGAGUGACCUCCCCAACACAGCGGUGUCCCCUUUAACCAAUCAGGUCACAAUAGGUUGCAGCUUAGCUGACCAUGUGACCAGGAAGAGGUCACAGGGUUAAGGGGUUAAAGAUCAAGUCCACUUACACAGAAGACAAAGUUUUGGGGUUGCAGAACUUUUAAUUUAGUGAAAACGUGUUAGUGGGGGCCAGGCUGUUCUGCUUCUGUUAAUGUCGGAUUUGUCUUCAAAUAGGCAGAAAAGGGAAGUAACAUGUGGUCAGGGUUAUUUGUUGACAUGUUUAGACUCGUUGAUUUCUUUGUCCAGCAGAAUGAAUCACAGGAUCAGGAGGAGACGUUACUUCACUUCUGACUUCAAAGACAUUAUUGUGGCACAGGUGCACAAAAUGUUCUCCUCAAAAGCAAUUUA
ensembl:lncRNA